rnacentral:rRNA from 2 species
AAUCAUCUUUACCGAUGAUUACAACUUGAUGAAUACAUAGUCAAGUUGAGGCAGACGUGGGGAACUGAAACAUCUAAGUACCCACAGGAAGAGAAAGAAAAAUCGAUUCCCUAAGUAGCGGCGAGCGAACGGGGAACAGCCCAAACCAGGAAGCUUGCUUUCUGGGGUUGUAGGACUGAACAUUUGAGUUACCAAAGUUGAUGAUAACCGAAGAGUCUGGGAAGGCUCGGCAUAGAGGGUGAUACCCCCGUAGGUGAAAUCGUCAACCCUCAGUUCAGGAUCCUGAGUACGGCCACACACGUGAAACGUGGUCGGAAUCCGGGAGGACCAUCUCCCAAGGCUAAAUACUCCCU